CAGAAAAACAACAUUGUUGUAAAGGUUCGUGAGGAUUUUGGCUGGUUGAUUGAUUUCCUGAUUUCAGCCUUCGCGACGGUGGAAGAGAACGUGAAUUAUCGUUAACCCGGCGGAUCAUGCCGGAAGAUGGGACGGGAAGGAACCGGUCUGCGAUUGGGAUCUGUAUCAAACAGUCUCCAAACAGGACAAUGAAAGUGUUGGUGGUGUUUGAUUUUUAGAGAAUGUCAAAAUCGCCAUUAU